rnacentral:rRNA from 1 species
UACAGAGGGUGCGAGCGUUGUCCGGAAUCACUGGGCGUAAAGGGCGCGUAGGUGGUGGCUUAAGCGUGCGGUGAAAGCUCGGGGCUCAACUCCGAGUCGGCCGUGCGAACUGGGCUCACUGGAGCAUAGUAGAGGCAGGUGGAAUUCCGGGUGUAGCGGGUGGAAUGCGUAGAGAUCCGGAAGAACACCGGUGGCGAAGGCGGCCUGCUGGGCUAUGGCUGACACUGAGGCGCGACGAGCGUGGGGAGCAAACAGG